rnacentral:tRNA from 1 species
GAGGGUAUAGCUCAAGUGGUAGAGUGCAUGCUUAGCAUGCACAGGGACCUGGGUUCAAUCUCCAGUACCUCCU